CUUCCUCUUUUGUCUAAUAAUAUAGCUAGACGUCUCUUGCCCUUCUGCACUUCCUCUUUUGUCUAAUAAUAUCGUUGUGUAACAACUCUGCCUUACUUUAUGUUUUGAUCUUUGCAUGUUCUAGAACAUUCUAAACUAUUUUCGUUGCUCAUCUGUUCUGUUGCUAUGCGAUUAGUCACGUCCCUUCGAGUGGUAUCUCGUCCUAUUGGUCUAAUCUCUUUUUCACACGCAUGUUCACUCCUUCUACAUUCCCCCACACCCUUACUUAUCUUAUAUACUGUUUUAAUCUACACCUUUUAGUUAUAGAGGUAAUAUGCAUUAUAUAUUUUCCCUGAUAUAAGCUAACAUGUAUAUACACUUGUUUUAUUUUCCACACCUGAUGCACUUCCGAUUGUACUAUAUUCUAUUCGUAGUACACCAAAUGCCACAACAGGGUUAAACCCUCAUGAGGUGUUAAUGGGUAGGCCUAUGUUCACAGGAGCAAGCCCACCUUUGACCCCACAUAAAGUCACUCUAAUGUGGACAGAUGAUUAUAUGCACUGUAAAAUCUAAUUCUACAUCUUACUUUUUUUUUUCUCGAAUCAGUUCAUUAAAAUAAUUCGUUCAAUUGAUUCGCCAUGUGAACCACCAGUAUGCGAACAAAUCAGUUAGUGAUUCGUUCGUCACGUGAACCAGCACCCUGCAGGUCGCGAGUCAGCCUCUGUGCCAUUGCCGACCAUUGCCACCCUGCUUUCGUGUUGAUAUAUUUUUAAAUGAUGACUGGAAAAGUAAUGUCGUUCUGGACCAACCCGGAGGUGAGGGCUUUUCUGUCCUUGUUUCGCGAAGACAGUAUACAGCGGGAGUUGGACAGGACCUCUCGGAAAGACAACGACAACGAACGUUUUCCAUUGGAUCGUGGCUGAGAUGGCCAAAUUUGGCUUUAUCAGGACAGUAAAACAAAUGGAGAAACUUAAAAAUUCACCAAGCAAACAAGCAUAUUGAAGAAAUACAUAAUUAACAACCAUCAAGAUAUGAUAGUAAUUUCUUAACUUGGUACAAAAUAUUGUGUUCUGUUUCUGUUUUUGCAGAAUUCACAAGAGCGGCAAGCAAAGAUCCUUGGACUGGCCUACCCCAAAAUUCCUUGAGAUCUUCAAAUCUAAAAAGGGAGAUGUUGGCAGGACACUUGCAGAGAUUGUUGCACAGGCUGAAACAAGUCUGCUUCAUAAGUAUUAUUUGGUAUGUUGAAGGUUUUGUACCACAAAGACAAAAUCUUAACCUCAGUUUUGACUUUUCUUUGUAUACGCAGGAUUCAGAUGCCACUGUGGAUUUCACACAGGUUCCUGUUGGAGUAGCGAUUGUUAUACCUGAAGAGAGUCAUCAGCCAGGUCCAAAUGCCCUACAUCUUGAACCAUCCAGCACUGGCAUCAUACUGGAAGAUUCUCUUUCCUCUAGGUGGAAGGGUCCAUACCAGGUGUUGCUGGUGACCAGGUGUUGCUGGUGACCAGAACGGCAGUAAAGGUCGAAGGCAGAGCAGAAUGGAUUUAUGUAACAUGGUGCUGGCUGGCCCCAAGUAGCAGGGAGGUGCCAAAAGAGACGUAAUAUGGCCUCUACUUCUCCUCCUGAUGCUUAGCUGCUCUGCUCGAUCUGAUGUCACUGAGGAGACCCACCCGACGACUGAUAGCCAUAACAAAGAUACAGAGAAAGGAAUAUCCUUUCAUUGCCCAGAGACAGACAUCUCGUAUCCUGACUGUGAGUCUAAUAGUAUCUGGAUGAGGAGCACUUCUGCAAAGGUGAAAACGGUAAAGACAUUUACUGGGGAACUGUUGAAGACAUUGGAUACUUCACAUGACACUUCUGAUAACAUUCAGAAACCUCUGACAUCUUCUGAGAACAUUCACAACACUGCUGUGGAGUUGAGGUUGGAUUAUGCUCAGGAACGUAAUCUAUCACAUUGUUGGUUGUGUCAGAAUUUGCCAAAAUCUAUGUAUUCUCCGAUGUUUGCCCCCAUUCCGUUUACCCUGGCAGAUUAUCGGGUAGUGAACUUGAACAAGCUGACCCCACGACUGGAGGACGAUGGUGAAAACUACUACCCUAUGGACCUGCUGGACUACUCUAGGUACCGAGGGGUGGUGGGUAUGGCAGUGAAUGAGAUAAAUAAACACUAUUUGCCUAAUUGCUCCGCAUUAAUUCUGUAUGGAUGGAGCAUUUACAUAUAGAAUGUCACUUAUCUUAGCUCAAACCAACUGUUCUGAAUUUCCUCUGAGCCCACAGUGUGUACCAGAGCCUUUCACUCCCUCUGUGUUAACUGAUGUAUUGUUAGAGGUGCACCCAUGGUUUGGAUCCACAUCGGCUCGCAGAAAAUAGAUUAUUGGAGAUCAGCCAUUCAUCACAGACGUCAUUUCCAGAUGGCCAGCUCUGUUCCAUGAGAGACAGGGCAGAAUUGAGAGAACUGUCACCACAGACCUUCUGGAAUCUUUUCUCAAUUGACUUGAUGGGCUGGUCCCAAGACUGCUGGAGGUAUACAAAGCAGCAACCAAGUCUGGAAAGAAGCAGUCAGUCAAAGAAAUUUUGAAAUGCCUUGAGAAAAAUGAGAAGGACUGCCACACUACAUAUCAGGCGAAGAUCCAUCAGACGUCAUCAGGAUGUGUGAUGCUCAUGUUGAAACUCUGGAUGAAGCCAUGAAGGGGAUGCACCUUGGCCUCCUGAUUGGCUAUGAAGGUCCUCAACAGGAUGCCUUUCCACAUGAGGUCUUCAAUAUGGCAGUUUUGGUUGAGGAGACCGGUGUGCUUCACAACAUUAAAGAUGUGCCAAGCAGCUUUGCCAUGCUUAUGGGCAUCAUCUAAUGUGUGAAUCUUGAGUGUCCAGAAGCCAUGAAGUAUUCCUUUGAGUUUCUUCAGAGAGUGGUGAUGAAGAUCAAACCGGACCAAGCCACACAGCUUAAGAAACCAGCUAAAUUCUUUAUUCUUUUACGGCUUUAGUACUUGUACUUGUUGUGUUGAUUAAGUGUACUGUAUUGUGACAGCAAUUAAGUUUUUCUUUAGACGUCUUUCACAUGCGGUGAUAACUCAAGUUCCUUUAGUAGUAGAUGAUUCUGACUGUAGAGAGAACAAAGAGGUCUUUGACCCAUGGGUUCCCCCUUUUGAGUCUGAUGGGGACUCCUAGGUUGCUUGGAUGGAUGGAUUUCUGAUGGGUUUUAGAAGGAGACAGUUUGUGUUACAUAGUUAUUUGAUUACUUUUAACUUUUAACAGAUUUAACAGAUUGAUUCAGGUGAUUCAAUGGGUAAUUUUAUUAGUAAUUUACUAAACUUUAAAUGAGUUUUAUAUAUAGGUAUGUGAGUUUACUUGAUUGUUAACAUAGAAUAAUUAUUUCAUAUACAAUAUUAUGUAUGAUGCAUAAUUGGUUUGGAUUAUAUGAAAAUGAUUAUUAUUUCUGAUGUUUUACUCUGAUUACUGUUAAUCAUUUAGUGACUUUAUAUUAUAAGAAUAUUUAAUCAUUCUACCAUUUCUAAUAUUGUGCCUUGAUGUAGAUAGGGACAGAUGUGGUAAAGACAUUGCUGGAAGUGAUGUGCUAGUAACCUCUCCUUCCUAGGCAUUUCUGAUUGACAGGCUGUUAAGCUCUUAUGCAAAUCUCUAGGAUCACUGCCCCAUGAUUUGAGUCUUAACAUCCAUCUCUGAAAUUAUAAGGGAGUGGUAGGAAAGUUUUUCCCACUGGGUUUUCGUUCCUACCUGCAUAACCUUUGAGGCUUCCGGUCUGUAUAGUAUGUUAAACAUGUCUCUUUGGGCUAGACAUUGUUCCUUCCAUAGUCAAAACAGGGUCUGCAAGGUUGGCUGAAUAGACUGACUAUUACCACAGAUGGUGAUAACCAGUGGUUGACCUCUAAAUUCUCAUCUUAUAUAUUCCUCCUGUCAUGAGAGGCUUGUCAGAAUGGUUCUGGCUCCCAAUGCAUGAACAGCUGUUACCAUUUCUCCUGAUCAGUAAACCUUAUUUCACUGCAA